UAUAAGUUCCCUUGUAUUGGAAGCAUGAACUGUCUUUGUGUGGUGUAGAAUGGGGAGUCUGUGGAAAUAUGAUGGAAAGCCUCACUCUGGAGGAGUGCAGUAACUCUUUGUGUGUCAUCACAGGUUUGGUGCAAGAUGGGCUGCAGAUUUUGUGCUACUGGAACAAUGGGCUUCAAAAGCAAUCUGUCUUCUGGAGAAAUUGUAGAGCAGUUGGUCCAUGCAUCGCGCUAUUCUCAGAUUCAAAAUAUUGUUUUCAUGCCUACUAUGAAGUAGCUACUGCCUGCUGGUAAACUUCUCUGCUCCGAUUACCCCUUCAUAAUGAACAUAAGAAACUUGCAACUGCUGGAGAUCAAGUCAUCAGCUACUGAGGAUAGAAGGUUAAGCAAUUAAAGUCAUCAGCUGUUGGAGAUCAAGUCAUAAGUAGAAUAUAUGGUUCUAUUUAGUUGAUUGUAGUGACAAAAUAUGUAUAUGCAAAUAGCUUUUGAAAAUCUAACCUGUUCCUCUUGUCAUGUCUUCCUCCUUGUAUUUUCGUAGUCACAAAAACAUAUAUGCAUCUAAAGUAAAUAAUGAUCAGACUAAAGUAAUGUAAUAUUUGUUCUUAUUUUCA